ACGCCAACAUUUGCCAGUGGAUCGUAAAUGCCUGGGCAGAUAUUUCGGUCACAACUGUGGUCCGAGCUUUCCGGAAGGCAGGAUUCACAGAACAACAGCGACACUGACUCCGAUGACUUCGACGAGACGGAACCGGCCAUUUUGGAUACCACGCUUGCGCAACUUUUCAAUUCGGACACCGAAGACGAAGAAUUUGAAGGAUUUACGAAUGAAGAAUAACUUCAGAAGAAACCGCUAAUGAAGAAGUAAGACAUGGAAUUUGUCGGUCGCCCUGGGCAACAAAGAUGCUCCAUCUACCGCAGAGGGACCGGUGUCUGGACGGAAACAUUAAAGAAUCCGAAGCGCCUUCUCAAAGCGACGAGGCGCUGACCAAAGACACGUUUGCUCAGUCUCGCUGCGACAAGACCGAGGAGCUGAGCCGGCAGCUGGAGGACAUGCUCGGCAUCUACUGCAGACAGAGCUGUUUUGCGGCCAGUCGCACAGUCCUGAGCUAAACGGGGUAGAGAAAGAGGAUGGCAAGCCAGGCAGAUCCAAGGGCGGCAGCGGCGGGAAGAAGCAACAGAAGAAGACGCAGGAGAAGAAGAAAGUGAAGGGUUUAGGCAAAUAAAUCACUCUCCUUCUGCAGACUCUCAAUACUUUGAGCACACCAGAGGAGAAGCUAGCAGGCCUCUGUAAGAAGUAUGCUGAACUGGCUCCUGACUAAUUCCACAAGACUGACCAUGACCAGGAAUGUGGAGUGCCGAAU